GACGAACGUUGGCGGCGUGCUUAAUACAUGCAAGUCAACUGAAGGGCCGGUAGUAAUACUGGCGUGGAGGUGGCGCACGGGUGAGUAACACGUAGGUAAUCUGCCUUCAGGUCUGACAUAACUCCGAGAAAUCGAAGCUAAUAUCAGAUGAUGCAGCGGCUUGACAUCAAGACAGUUGUUAAAGCUUCGGCGCCUGAAGAUGAGCCUGCGCU
rnacentral:rRNA from 1 species